AAGACUAUAGACCUGCGGAGUACCUGCGGAAGGAUCAUUAUUGAUUUUUAACAGGAUGUGCUGGCUCUCAAGGGGGCAAUGUGCACUCCUAAUAAAACCAAUAUCCACCUGUGCACCUUAAGUAGACUAGUAGGACUCAUCACAGUCUUUCCAGUCUAUGUUCCUUCACAAACCUUUUGAAAUGUAAAUGAAUGAUCAUCUGUAUAAUUAAUAACAACUUUCAGCAACGGAUCUCUAGAU
rnacentral:misc_RNA from 1 species